AUAUAUACAAUUUAUCUAACAGUGUUUUAUGUGGGUAGUGAAGGAGAGGGACGAGUCCAACCAUAAACCAAGAUAUUUGUAACAAUUUUACAAACUCGAGUUCAGUGCCAUCUGCACAAAAUAUUUUAGGGGUAUUGUUGGGAGCACGAGACCGGUUAAAAAUUAUGCAUUUGGAUUUCUUAGUGUUAAGAAGGAGAUGGAGAUUAUGGAAA